rnacentral:lncRNA from 1 species
GGCCUCCAUCUUGAAAACGGAAAAUAAAAACAGCAGACCUAUGAAGGUCGAAGGGGAAGAAAAGCUGUAUCGAUUGUUGAGAUCUGGCGACUUGUUUAAAUUUCAUCAGCCUCACUUCUAUGAACUCUCAGGCCUCACGUGUACCAGCUCUCUGCUCUCCUUUGCCUUGGGACGUUCCAUCCCUGGAAGUUUCCCUGCCCACAUCUUUGUAGAGAGUCCAUUCUCCAAGCUUCAGUGUGUCAUCUGUGAGGACCGUGACCCACCUGGUACAUCGCCUCAGGGCAUUCAUUUCAGGCUCCUUCUAAAUGGCCAAGUUUUCAAGAUUGUUUUGGCUCUAGCAAAACAAGUUGGAACAUUCACAUCAUCCAAGCUGCAGCAAGCUGUUCGUCAGAGUCAUCUUUGGUGACUAUCUGCCUACAGGCAUUCCUUUGCACUCUGGGUGUAGCCCUCAGUGCUGGGCUUACAAAGAAGACGACACAAAAGCAACCAUGAAAAGAUCUUGGAAGCAGAGGGAUCUGCAGAAGUGCUUGCAACACUUUCAGCCUUAACCAGCAUCAGAGACAAAAAUCCUUUCUGGAAUGAGAUCUUGCUUUCUUUUGUAUGUUUGCAAAGAAUAUAUAGUACACUUCCUUGAUCUGUGGUUCCUAAAGUGUGAUUCCCAACAAGCAGCAUCAGGAUCAUCUGGAAACUUGAUAGAAAUGUAAAUUCUACAGUCCCUCCUUGGAGCUACAGAUUCAGAAAUUCUGAAGUUUAAGUCCAGCAGUUGGUUAUAAUAAGCUCUCUAGGUGAUUCUGACUUGCACCAAGGCACCCUUGGAAAUGCAAUGCUACAUCUCAAUGGGAUUUUCCAGUACAAAGAUUCUUUUCAAAUAACAUAAUUGUGGAUACACACCACUCCUACAGUGGUAAGUAUACUGAAGAUGUGCCAAAACAUUAGGGCAAAAAUUCAGUUCCCAUGGCAUACAAGCAGGAACCCAACCAUUUGCAGCAAUAAAUAAAAUUUUUGUAGACUACGAGAUUAUAAA